UACGAAGGGGGCUAGCGUUGUUCGGAAUCACUGGGCGUAAAGCGCGCGCAGGCGGCUUUCCAAGUCAGGGGUGAAAUCCCGGGGCUUAACCCCGGAACUGCCUUUGAAACUGGUAAGCUGGAGACUCGGAGAGGAUAGUGGAAUUCCAAGUGUAGAGGUGAAAUUCGUAGAUACUUGGAGGAACACCGAUGGCGAAGGCAGCUAUCUGGACGAGCACUGACGCUGAGGCGCGAAAGCGUGGGGAUCAAACAGG
rnacentral:rRNA from 1 species